rnacentral:lncRNA from 10 species
GCCCCUUUCAGUUUUCUGUCACCCUCCGAAAAGGAGAAACCAAACAAAAGAGUCUCUUUCUUUUCAGGGCUUGUAAAGUAGAAUAUAUUUGACAAAGGCGAGAGAAGGACUUGUGAUUUAGAGCUGCACAGCCUUCCUUUCUCUGACAGAUCCUGAGAGUUUUCUCAAAUACCUUAGUUUAAAAGUGUCUCCUGUUCCCCCUCCCCUAAAAUGUUCUUUUUCCCCUGUCCAGAUCUUUUUCAGCCAUAGCGAUGGGAAUGUUUGAGCCAGACUGAAAAGAACAAUGCUGUAGUGAAACUUCCCAUUUUUUUCUCCUGAUUGCAAAUGGCAUAUUUUCUGACCCCCUCCCAUGUUAGUGUACUUGAAAUUGUAGCAUGGUGAACCCGGCACCGAAUGAAUGGGGAUAGAUUUGGACGCAUCUCUAUCUCUUUGAUUGUUAACUUAAUCCUUUUUCUCUUUCUGUAGUCAGUUCCUUUUAUCCUUCUUUUCUUUGGAAGUGGGGUGGGGGUCUGGAUAGGGUCCCCAAGAAAGAAUUAAGAUUUGUUUUAAUCCUGUCUGGUUAAUUUGAAUUCUAAUGCCAUCUGCAAACGUGGUUUUCUGCAUGGUCAUUUAUUUCCAAAGGCAGCCCCCAGUGUUGCCUUUUCUAUGUUGGGCACUCUUUCCUUCUGUCUAGAGGGGGUUUAGCUUUUGAGGCUAUUCAUCUAUCCUUUUUUCCUUAAAACAAAUCUAAUUAACAUUCUUCCUAGUUAUACCUUUUUUUUUGUUUGUUUGUCUGUUUCCUGCCGGUUAGCGAUGGAUGGAAGCACAUCUAUGGCUUCUCAGUAUAACAAACUAGAGUCUGCGAAUUUUUAUGGCUUGGCUGGCAAUGUUGAGGGUUUUUUUUUUUUUCCCCCUCCCUCUCCCUGUGCUUGACUCCGCUUGCAAGCAAUGAGGAAUGACAGGAGAGCGCAUAGGGAGGGUUUCUUGGCUGAUUGCAUUUAAGCCAGGAAUUCACUGUGAAAAUAAAGCCAAGGGGCGAUAAAUAAAAGAGGCAAUCUUCUCUAGGAGACAGAC